rnacentral:rRNA from 1 species
GUGCCAGCCGCCGCGGUAAUACCGGCAGCCCGAGUGAUGGCCGAUCUUAUUGGGCCUAAAGCGUCCGUAGCUGGCCGCGCAAGUCCGUCGGGAAAUCCACGGGCUCAACGCGUGGGCGACCGGCGGAAACUGUUCGGCUUGGGGCCGGAGGACCCGAGGGGUACGUCCGGGGUAGGAGUGAAAUCCCGUAAUCCUGGACGGACCGCCGGUGGCGAAAGCACGUCGCGAAGACGGAUCCGACAGUGAGGGACGAAAGCUAGGGUCUCGAACCGGAUUAGAAACCCUAGUAGUCC